UACGAACCGGACAAACGUUAUUCGGAAUUAUUGGGCUUAAAGGGUGCGUAGGCGGUGCGGUAAGUGCGGUGUGAAAUCCCACGGCUCAACCGUGGAAUUGCGCUGCAUACUGCCGUGCUAGAGGGAGACAGGGGUAAGCGGAACUGAUGGUGGAGCGGUGAAAUGCGUUGAUAUCAUCAGGAACACCAGUGGCGAAAGCG
rnacentral:rRNA from 1 species